CCUACGGGAGGCAGCAGUGAGGAAUAUUGGUCAAUGGGCGGAAGCCUGAACCAGCCAAGUAGCGUGCGGGAUGAAUGCCCUACGGGUCGUAAACCGCUUUUGCACGGGGAUAACACCCUCCACUUGUGGAGGUCUGCAGGUACCGUGCGAAUAAGGGCCGGCUAAUUCCGUGCCAGCAGCCGCGGUAAUACGGAAGGCCCGAGCGUUAUCCGGAUUCAUUGGGCUUAAAGGGAGCGUAGGCGGGCGUCCAAGUCAGCUGUAAAAUCGCGCGGCUCAACCGCGCCCCGCAGUUGAAACUGGACGCAUUGAGUUCACAACAGGCAGGCGGAAUUCGUGGUGUAGCGGUGAAAUGCAUAGAUAUCACGAAGAACCCCGAUUGCGAAGGCAGCCUGCCGGGGUGCGACUGACGCUGAGGCUCGAAGGUGCGGGUAUCAAACAGGAUUAGAUACCCGUGUAGUC
rnacentral:rRNA from 1 species